CUUCGGGUAUUUCCGUGUCCCACUCGGAGGUACUCGGCAAUCGCUCGGCCUCCCCCAUCCCCCGGUAACGGUCGCUGGUGAGUUUAAAUGAGCCGGGGCUGGCCGGGCCGGAGCCGCUACGGGGGGGGCCUGAGGCACUGCAGAAAGUGGGCCUGAGCCUCAAGGAUGACGGUGCUGCAGGAACCCGUCCAGGCUGCUAUAUGGCAAGCACUAAACCACUAUGCUUACCGAGAUGCAGUUUUUCUUGCAGAACGACUGUAUGCAGAAGUACACUCAGAGGAAGCCUUGUUUUUAUUGGCAACCUGUUAUUACCGCUCAGGAAAGGCAUAUAAAGCAUAUAGACUCUUGAAAGGACACAGUUGUACUACACCGCAGUGUAAAUACCUGCUUGCAAAAUGUUGUGUUGAUCUCAGCAAGCUUGCAGAAGGGGAACAGAUCUUAUCUGGUGGAGUGUUUAAUAAGCAGAAAAGCCAUGAUGAUAUUGUUACUGAGUUUGGUGAUUCAGCUUGCUUUACUCUUUCAUUGUUGGGACAUGUAUAUUGCAAGACAGAUCGGCUUGCCAAAGGAUCAGAAUGUUACCAAAAGAGCCUUAGUUUAAAUCCUUUCCUCUGGUCCCCCUUUGAAUCAUUAUGUGAAAUAGGUGAAAAGCCAGAUCCUGACCAAACAUUUAAAUUAACAUCUUUACAGAACUUUAGCAACUGUCUGCCCAGCUCUUGCACAACACUAGUAUCUAAUCAUAGUUUAUCUCAUAGACAACCCGAGACCGUUCUUACAGAAACACCCCAGGACACAAUUGAAUUAAACAGACUGAAUUUAGAAUCUUCCAAUUCAAAGUACUCCUUGAAUACAGAUUCCUCAGUGUCUUAUAUUGAUUCAGCUGUAAUUUCACCAGAUACUGUCCCUCUUGGAACAGGAACUUCCAUAUUAUCUAAACAGGUUCAAAAUAAACCAAAAACUGGUCGAAGCUUAUUAGGAGGACCAGCUGCUCUUAGUCCAUUAACCCCAAGUUUUGGGAUUUUGCCAUUAGAAACCCCAAGUCCUGGAGAUGGAUCCUAUUUACAAAACUACACUAAUACAUCUUCUGUAAUUGACGUGCCAUCUACUGGAGCCCCUUCAAAAAAGUCUGUUGCCAGAAUCGGCCAAACUGGAACAAAGUCUGUCUUCUCACAGAGCGGAAAUAGUCGAGAGGUAACUCCAAUUCUUGUUGCACAAACACAAAGUUCUGGCCCACAAACAAGUACAACACCUCAGGUAUUGAGCCCCACUAUCACAUCUCCCCCAAACGCACUGCCUCGAAGAAGUUCGCGACUCUUUACUAGUGACAGCUCUACAACCAAGGAGAAUAGCAAAAAGUUAAAAAUGAAGUUUCCACCUAAAAUCCCAAACAGAAAAACUAAAAGUAAAACUAACAAAGGAGGAAUAACUCAACCUAACUUAAAUGAUAGCCUGGAAAUUACAAAAUUGGACUCUUCCAUCAUUUCAGAAGGGAAAAUCUCCACAAUCACACCUCAGAUCCAGGCAUUUAAUCUGCAGAAAGCAGCAGCAGAAGGUUUGAUGAGCCUUCUUCGUGAAAUGGGGAAAGGUUAUUUAGCUCUGUGCUCGUACAACUGCAGAGAAGCUAUAUAUAUCUUGAGCCACCUACCUUCUCACCACUACAAUACUGGUUGGGUACUGUGCCAAAUUGGAAGGGCCUAUUUUGAACUUUCAGAGUACAUGCAGGCUGAAAGAAUAUUCUCCGAGGUUAGAAGGAUUGAGAAUUACAGAGUCGAAGGCAUGGAGAUCUACUCUACAACACUUUGGCAUCUUCAGAAAGAUGUUGCUCUUUCAGUUCUUUCAAAAGACUUAACAGACAUGGAUAAAAAUUCACCAGAGGCCUGGUGUGCUGCAGGGAACUGUUUCAGUUUGCAACGGGAACAUGAUAUUGCAAUUAAAUUCUUCCAGAGAGCUAUCCAGGUUGAUCCAAAUUAUGCUUAUGCCUAUACUCUACUAGGGCACGAGUUUGUGUUAACUGAAGAAUUAGACAAAGCAUUAGCUUGUUUUCGAAAUGCUAUCAGAGUCAAUCCGAGACAUUACAAUGCAUGGUAUGGCUUAGGAAUGAUUUAUUACAAGCAAGAAAAAUUCAGCCUUGCAGAAAUGCAUUUCCAGAAAGCACUUGAUAUCAACCCUCAAAGUUCAGUUUUACUUUGCCACAUUGGAGUAGUUCAGCAUGCACUGAAAAAAUCUGAGAAGGCUUUGGAUACCCUAAACAAAGCCAUUGUUAUUGAUCCCAAGAACCCUCUAUGCAAAUUUCACAGAGCCUCAGUUUUAUUUGCAAAUGAAAAAUAUAAGUCUGCUUUACAAGAACUUGAAGAAUUGAAACAAAUUGUUCCCAAAGAAUCCCUCGUUUACUUCUUAAUAGGAAAGUGCUGCUGUUUAUUUUUAGGUUUACAAGAAGUUAGGUCAAACGCACCUCGCCCUGAUGAAUUUCUCUUGGGCUAUGGAUUUAGAUCCUAAAGGAGCCAAUAACCAGAUUAAAGAGGCAAUUGACAAGCGCUACCUUCCAGAUGAUGAGGAGCCAAUAACCCAAGAAGAACAAAUCAUGGGAACAGAUGAAUCCCAGGAGAGCAGCAUGACAGACGCAGACGACACACAACUUCAUGCAGCUGAAAGCGAUGAGUUUUAACUUCCGGAAACCAGACUUUUGCAACUGGAUGUGUGAUUAGUGCUGACAUGUUUCUUGUCCCUCCAUAUACUGAGUCUUCACUCUUGAGCCGGCAGUGUCAUCAUCCAUCACUUAGACAAUGAGUGUGCCACUUUCAUUGGACCCUGACUGUACACAGAAUGAAAGGCAGUGCAAUAUUUAGCUGCUAACAAGACUGGCUCUUUCACCAGUACGAAUGACAAUUUAGGGGGGUAAGAUGGGGAACUUUCUUUUCUUUUCUUUUCUUUUUUUUUUUUCUUUAAUCUCCCUUUGUUGAAAGCUAUCAUGGAAGGAAGAGUUAACGUUUUAUCUUGAAGGAACCGUUAGGUAUGGAAAAUAGUGAUGAACCAGAAUUUUUUGGUCGUUUUCCAAAAAUUUGUUUUCAUUUGGUUCUGUUCCUGAUUAACAGAGUGACUGACCUUCAUUUCUAGGUUCUUCAAGAAUGGUGUUAGCAAGUGCCAGAUGGAACAAUAAAAGACAUUGCCUAUAACAGAGUAACUUGAUUGCCAAGGAAUGUAAAUUACCUUAAACUUGCAGUGUCUCCCAUAAACAAAUGUAAUGGGCAUAUUGGGACUCAUGUGUAGGAAUCAACUAUCCCUCCAUACAGCGUACACUUAUUCUUGGCAAGAAUGCUUUAAUGUCUAACCAAGAAUUUUAAUUUAUUCAUCUUGCUUCAAAGUGUUGAUCAUUGUCUUGGUAUUGCAAACUUUCAAGUUGUUCCCUUACCAUUUUGCCUCUUCUCUUUGAGCUCUGUGGGAUCACCUUAAACAUUCAGAGAUGAUAGAGUGUUUGCCCACUGAAAAGCCAAAACAAGGCCCUUAAUAACCAUUUAUGUUCACCAUAAGAAUCAAAAUGAGAACACUAAAGUGGAGAGACUUAAAAGAGAUCAUGAUAGCAAAGCCUUAAUACAAUCAAAAUUGUACCAUGACCUUGAAUCUAUAUUUGUUCAAGAAAGUAUCCCUUUGACUUUUCUAAGUGUUUAAGCAGGGUGCAAGGAUGUGUAGUUACCUUUGGUUGAGGUCAUUUCCAUUCUUUUCAGCUCUCUGCUUCAAAUUAUUUUCAGUAGUGUGAGUCACCAAAAUGUUUACCAAGAGUGAUUGGGUUUAGGAUAUUAGAAAUUUUUAGCUGGGGGAAAAAAAAACAACCAUUCUUAUGAAGGAGAUGAGUUCUCUCCUGAGUGUGUCGUAAUAUAGGUUGGUGUCUUUGGGGAAUGGCCACAAUUUUAAAGAUCUAAUUAUGCAUAAUAAAAUGGGAAUUAUUGGAAUUUCACAGUAACAGAUUUAAAGUCUUAAAUUGUGUAUCUCCUUUAUUGUAAUGUAUUGAAAUUUUUAGAGAAACUUUAGUUGUUAACAUUUUUUUAAGUGCCAAUGUCAGAAUAUAACAAAUUAUAGUUUCUUACGAAUGA